AGGCCCAUUUAAAGAAGGCUGAGCCCUGGAGAAAGACAGCAACAUGGUAUUAUCAGUCAUUUUAGGCUCUUUGCUGGAGAGGGAAGUUGGUAAAAAAACCUACCAAGAAAAUCCUGUAAGUCCUGGAGCCUGGCUUAACAAUUUCAUUCUGCUGGGCCUCAGUUUCUAUACCUGUGAGUCAGAUGAUCAAAAAGGAUUCUUUCUAGAUCUUAAAUUUUAGCUAUAUAGGGUGGUUCCAAACAGUAAGCUUCUUUGAAAUAAAAAGCCAGAUUCCCAGGAAAAUCGAUUUAGCUCAGCGUCUGUAUAGUACAGACACGAACUAGUUACAGUGCCAGCCUAAGAUGACCCUUCAGAUGGCUACAGUAGACCCUUCAGAUGGCUACAGGAAUACUGAAUGAACAACUCUAAAUGACACAAUUAUCAAACAGUUCUUGGAGGCCCGGGAAAGGUGACCUUAAUGGCAUUCCAUAGCUGGCAAGUCCCUGACUGAAACAGUGAAGGCACAGCAGG
rnacentral:lncRNA from 1 species